UCUUGCCGGCGCCCUGCUCCCUUUUAUGACUGGCACGGCACCUAAAAACAAAGGUGCAUAUCCUUCGAACGCCCGGCCGCCCUAGACAAGUACAUGACGGUACACGCCUUCAGGGAGACCAAGGGCCCGCGAAAGGUAAUAGUUGUAUUUUAACGCGCGUUAAGGGCCCCGUGUUGCGGAAAAUCCAUUUGCAUCCUCCGAUUCCUGCGGCAAGAGAAUUGCCACGAUGCGGAGUGGCUACGGUGCAUUCUUCAUCAGGCCAAUCAAGUAAUACACAUGAUGACGCACGUAAGCAUGCGCCACACAGGAGUGCGUGAACACGAACUCCGUAAAAUUGCUGUGGCAGCAAUCUACUCCAGAAUCCUCUAUGGCCUGCCAUACGUUGCACUUACACACAACCAGACCAAACUGCUCGAGUCUUCUUUGCGGAGAUGUCACCGCAUUGAAGUGGGUGUUCCCAGGUACGCCCGCAGCUUCGAUGUUGAAAGCACAACCCUGCACAACGCCUUGGAUGCAAAGGUUCAAGCCUACGGAGAGUCUCAGCAUGUCCGUCUGAGCACCUCGACCCAGAUGUCCCGUUCCACUACAGGCGGCGCUAGCGUCGGGGCCCGCCUGGCGCCAUGGCCUGGCGUCACCACGUGGCCAUAUUUGUUCUCGGAGCGGUGGAGAGUCGCGCGCCGCUGCGAGCGAGUGACAAGCCAUGGGUAGCGACGCGCGGAACAAGGCUUUCGCCGGCGUGCGCUACCAUACACCAGAGGAGGGCAGCUGGCCUGCGUGCACGACGCGCACGGCCGACCAACAUCGAGGAACUGGCGAGAAAAAGCUGCGUCGCCGGACAGACGCUGCGAACGGAUCACGUAA
rnacentral:lncRNA from 1 species